rnacentral:tRNA from 1 species
UUAAUUAAAACCAAAUGAGGUAUUCCACUGUUAAUGGAAUUAUUGAGCUAGCUCUAAUUAAA